UACGGGAGGCAGCAGUUAGGAAUAUUGGGCAAUGGAGGGAACNUUGNNCCAGCAACGCCGCGUGAAGGAAGAAGGUUUUCGGAUUGUAAACUUCUGAUCUAGGGGAAAAAGAAAGUGAUGGUACCCUAGGAGAAAGCCACGGCUAACUACGUGCCAGCAGCCGCGGUAAU
rnacentral:rRNA from 1 species